rnacentral:lncRNA from 1 species
GUCAGCUGCUGGGAUGUUGUCUCUACCCAGCCCUGCAGAGUACAGAGGCAAAUGGGAGGAGGUUCAGUGACUAAGAAAGCAGAGACCAGAACGGCUCAUCUGGUUUGCUUAGUAGUCCCUCAGAGAUUCUACUCCAGUCAUUGUGAGCACUAGUCAGACAUUAUCCAGCCCUCAACCCUUGAACUGCCUGCCUAUUGGAAUGAUAUCUGGCCUGGAUGUUCCCUGGGGAAUCAAGACUGAGCUUCAUGCUGUACUGGGUGCCCAGGUUGCAGAGAUGGGAGGAAUCCCAGGUAACCCUGGUGGACACCAUGGUGGAUCUCCAUGGCAAACUCUUCACAGCCAUCCAGGAUGCCCCACAGCGCCAGGAGCUCUUCUCUCAGAUAGAGCAGGCCGUCCUCCAGAGCCUGGAGACUCUAGCAAAGAGAACCAUUGUGCCGUAGGUGAUAUUUAAAGCCUAAACCACUUGCCCUGGAUCAGAGAGAAUUGGAGACCCCUUUUUACAGGAGAGUCUAGGUGAGGCUGUCUUCUUUGAUCCUUGCAGGUGUCAGUCCAAGACCAAUCUCUGACUGUCUAUGUGGCUCAUGUGUACCCUCUCUGAGCCUCAGUUUCCUUAUGUGUCAAAUGGGGACGCACAGUAGGACGAAAGAUCUUGUGAGAUGCCAAACAGCAACCUCCUCCAAAGCGUUUAAAAAAAAAAAUACUGCUUCCCCACUUUCUCCUUUAUGGCUAUCUUAUAGGGAGGAGAAUUGUUGCCAGAAUGAGGAGGUGGCAGGUGACAGAAACUGCCCAGUUACACUGCCACCGGGAGCCAGAAGGUUGGUUGGCCGAUUGGUUAGUUCAAGACUAGUACAAUGGGAUAUUUGCAGAGCCUCUGCCCCCUAGUGGUAGUGAUCUGGAACUGCGCCACCUGGUAGCUUUUCUUUGGAGAGCAUCCUGUGUCCACACUGGGCAUUUCUUCCCACAGUACUCAGGAUUAUAUUUGUCUUUUACCGAAGGUCCAAUUGUUUAGUUCCUUAUGACUCCUCCUCACUCCUGAUUGUGAGUUAAGAACUUUGCGUGAAAGUGUGGCUUGUUACCAAGUUUUAGGGAGCAUUUUAGCCAGAGUAUUCUUGUCAUUUGCAAGUUAGCAUCGGGGAAAGGAGGCCACUCGAUCGGCCCUGUGUCACCCCAAUUUACAUCCUGGUGUCUGUCUGCCUAGCAUAGCCCCACAGCCAGUAUGGCUGAGCCUCAGUCAGUCCUGAGGCUGUAAGUCUGACUCUGUCCUGCAUCUCCCAGGGCCUUCUGUGUCCGCCCACUCACUCAAUAGUGGUACAGAGUUCCUCUGGGCAGGACCAAGCUCUGUGGAUACCCCAGAGAGUCUGGUAAACCAAGAUGUUCUCACCCCUGUCACCUCAGAGCCUGAAGAUCUGACUGUGCCAGCUGCAGAAGAGAUGUCAAGGAGAGAGGUGGGCAGAGAGAAGCCAGAGUCCCCUUCCAGAAGGGACAUUUGAUAUCCCUUUGAUAUAAAAUCCAUCUUUGAUAUUUGAUGCAUACUUGUAUGCUGGAAGCUACAAUAUGAGUUCAGUCAGCUAGCAACCAGCGUCACCCAAUAUGCCAUCACACACACACACACACAGAGGAGGGGGGAAGACAGAGACACAGAGAGAAACAGAGAGAGGCUACAAAGAGAAACCUAGAGACAUAGAUAUAUAAAUACGGAUGCAAACACACACAUGCGUAUAAACUCAUGGAAAUACAGACAGGCCUAAUCAGACAAACAGACACAUACGAACAGCAGACACAGAGCCUGUGCAUCCCACUCUCUUCUUGGUGGCCAUCAGCUUUCCCGGGUGUCCUUUGGGAUGGGCAGAUGUUUGUCUUCAGCUGGGAGAACUGAGGCCAGCUCUGCUAAUGCCUAUAGCUGGGACCCACCUGUUCUAUCCUAAAGCCUGGCACCUCAUUCAGUCUUUCCUCGAACCUCUGCAACAUUUGUGGCGGGCACAGUAGUUUCUGGGUGUCACUGUAUGCUAUUCUGGUCAUCCUGCUGUCCUGUGCUCAGCACACAGAUUUAAUCGAGGACCUGGGAUUUUGGCACUUCAAGGCCCCUCCUGGUCUGAGAAAUGUAUUCUGGCUUUCUCCCUUCACCAUCCAUGAGCCACAAUGCCCCUCAUCUCUGCCUUUCAGCUCCAAAGUCAGGGAGGGCCCUUGGGGCUCUUUGCUUAAAAGACGCCAGAGUUGAAGUCCAGUCUGGAGGCUUCUGUUUUCCAAACAAGGGGCAGAGAGAGGAGCUGGGUGGCAGAGUAGAGACUCUCUGCCUGCCCUCCACACCCUGUGUUUUAAGACAGAGUCUCAGUAUGCGGCUCAGGUUGACCUUGGAUUCACAAAUCUCCUGCCUUGCUGACCAAGUGCUGGGCUGGCAGACUUGCACCUUUAUAUCCAGCUGUGCAUUCUCCUCUCAAAGCUGAGAGGCAAAGCCAUUGCAUCCGGCCAUGACCUUAGAAGACUAAGUCCCAGGCCACCAACGUGCCAGAAUGAGGUCCACUGAGUUCCUCAGACUCACCCAACUCUGCACCCAUCACCCAAGGAAGAGCUGAUGAUUCCAGUCAAGAGGCCCAACUGAGAGGGUUCACCCAAGCUCUCUUUGUAAGGACUGUUUAGGCCGUGUAGCAGGAGGAGCUUCCACGAGCUCUCAGAGUGGAAGACUGACUCGGGGGUGGUUCCAGGUAGAGGACACUCUGGCUGGAGUGAUACGGGUCAUGGCAGGGGUGCUGAAAGGUGGGUUGAGCCUUGUCCUCCUGCACAACCUGCUGCUUAGCUAAGUGCAACUGCCCAUCAACAACAUGGCCCAGUGGUGUUGCUCCUCAGCUGACAGCUUGCCUGACACUGAACCUCUUCUCUGGUCAGAAAAGGACUGACAGAUGCCCACAGAGCCUGCCUUCCCAUGGGUACUGAGGCAGCGGCAUCUAGGGUCUCUGUGCAGGCCAAUUUCAUAUCAACUUGACACAGGCUCCAGUUAUCUGAGAAUGGGAGAUAAGAAAACGCCUCUCUAAGACUGUGCUGUAGGCAAGCUUGUAAAACAUUUUUUUAAAUUAGUGAUUGAUGGGGGCGGGCCCAGCCCAUUGUGGGUGGGGCUUUCCCUGGGCUGGUGGUCCUGGGUUCUAUAAGGAAGCAGGCUGAGCAAGCAAAGGGGAGCAAGCCAAUAAGCAGCAGCCCUCCAUGGCCUCUGCAUCAGCUCCUGCCUCCAGGUUCCUGCCUUGCUUGAGUCCCUGCUGUUACUGCUUUUGGCGAUGAACUGUUCUAUGGAACUGUAAGUGAAAUAUACUCUCUCCUUCCCUACUUACAUCUGGACAUGGAGUUUUAGCAUAGCAAUAGUAACCCUGACCCUACAGUUUCUGUUAGCCUCUCAACAAACCCAAGCACCACGUAAGUGAAGGGGAUUGGGAGGGGGUGCACAGGUGUAUGUCUGCCUUUGUUGGUGUUUAUAUGGAGACCACCUUGGCCAAGGCCACAACUCCCAUACCUCAUUUACCUUGCUGGAUGCACACCCCCUCACACAUGUGAGACAUGCACACAGCAUCCCCUUGCACACAGGAGGACACAUGGGUAGACACAUGAGAAUGUUCUAGAGUUGGGGGCUCUAGUGCUAGGAGAAGCCUUGACUCCCUCCUCUGGGACUCAGCCAACUACCCUGUGCUGCCUCUUUGCUGCCCCCCCCACCCCCACUGAGAUACUUAUCACUGCAGCAAUGGAAAACGUCAGACUGACUUCAACCAGUGGCAGAGCAUGGAUUUAUUUCUUUAAAACGUUUUUGAGAUAAAAAUUCACAUACGUUAAAAACAUGCCUCCCUUAAGUAUACCCUUAAUGCUGCCCGUCAAAAUUGUACUAUUUAGAGCCGGGCGUGAUGGCACACGCCUUUAAUCCCAGCACUCAGGAGGGAAAGGCAGGAAGAUUUCUGAGUUCGAGGCCAGCCUGGUCUACAAAAUGAGUUCCAGGACAGCCAGGGCUACACAGAGAAACCCUUUCUCAAAAAAAAAAAAAAUUGUACUACUUAAUACAAGGUCAUUCCAUCACCUCUGAAAGGUGUGUGAUGCUAGCCCCCUUCUGUUAACCCAGCUUCUGGGUGCUGUCCCUUUGAGUUGCCUGACACCUCCUGCACCAAAGCCACACCGUCCGUCUUGAUUGCUGUCAUUCUGUAGUGAAUUCGAGGUUGUGAUGUACUUGCCUCCACCACCAGGACAAGUCUGCUGUUGAGAGUGGGUUUCAGGCACGGUGUGAUCCAGCACUCAGCGGCACUCUGAAGGACCUGUUUUGUCUGGCAUCUUCAGCACAGGCUCACCUCAGUUAAUGCAAGCUCAAUAUAAGCAUGCAAGCUAGAAUCCUGAGUCUCUCUGCACGUCGAGAACGCCCACGAGCCGCAGUAGCCAUGAGUAAGACUUGCCUGGUGAAGCUCAGGGACAGCCAUUUCUUCUGGUGUUCAUGUAAUUGUGAGCCCCUGGGAUUUUUGCAAAGCCUUCACAUUAUAGCCAGAAUGUUGUGACUUCUGGGUAAGAGGCAUGUGUCUAGAUGGCUGCCACAAGUUCAUUUCAUCAGGUCCCCAUCAGUUCCUCAUCCGACACUAGUCCAUCCAGUCACCCAAAUGCACCCAACAUUGAGUUAGGUAUAGCUGGAGAUGGGGCAAUAGAAACGAAUGCCCCUCGGAGAGGGAAACUCAGUGCGGGUCAGCAAUUCUCUGUGUGGGUCAGUGAUACUCAGUGUAGGUCAGCGUUACUCAGUGCAGUUGGGAUUUUUGAAGAAGCAUGGGAAGUGGCAGACUGUCACAUUCAGGAUACCACACAAGAAUCUAGUCUCCUGGUCAUCUAUCUAACACUAGCAGGCUGUGCAACUUCCGAUAAGACACUUGACCCCUCUGUGCUUCUUUUAUGCUCUUGCCUGGGAUGUUGAUGUCCUGUCCUUUACAGAUCCCCACUUUGUUGCUGCCGUGGCCUCUGGGAAGGGGGUGUCAGGGCAGAAGGACUAGCAGCUGAGAGGUUUAUUUUCCUUCUCAGGAAUUUGUAUUGGGCAAGAUGGAGACUGUGAGAAUGAGCUUGCAACUCUUGGAGCCCAAGGAUGCUGUCAGGGCACAGUCUCAAAGGCCGGAGGCUCAGGCAGUGCAGCGCACCCUUGAGGACAUCCCCAAGGCAACUCGGUGUGAGAAGCCCCAGGACCCCAUUUCCCAGCAUCCUCAGAGCUCCUGGCCUAGGUCCCAGGCAUCACAUGAGCUAGCUCACUCUGCCUCUUUUUCUCUCCAUUGUUCCUCUGAGGAGGAGGAGAUGGAGGAGGAAGCCAUAUGUUGUUUUCAGGGAGUGGGGAAACAGGGGGGCAGGCAAGGUUCUGGAACCUGCCGGAUGUGAGGUGCUGUUGCUACCCGUACUGGGGGGAUUGUCACAAGUGCCUGGGGUAGGCUGAUAGAGAAUUGGUGGCAUAUGUAGGACAGGGCCCCUCUAUUUGUGUGGCCUGUCACCUCUGGGCUCCAGGAUCUUUCUUGCUGUGACUGUGGCCUCUUAAUGCAAUGUGCUUCUGACAGUUUGUCUGUUAGGAAUAUCAGUCAUGGGGAAUGUGAAGGAGUCUCCACGUCACCAGAUUUGUGAGGGUUGUGCUUGACCACAACG